rnacentral:rRNA from 1 species
GAUGAACGCUGGCGGCGUGCCUAAUACAUGCAAGUCGAGCGAACGGACGAGAAGCUUUCUCCUCUGAUGUUAGCGGCGGACGGGUGAGUAACACGUGGAUAACCUACCUAUAUGACUGGGAUAACUUCGGGAAACCGGAGCUAAUACCGGAUAAUAUUUUGAACCGCUUGGUUCAAAAGAGCAAGACGCUUUUGCUGUCACUUAUAGAUGGAUCCGCGCUGCAUUAGCUAGUUGGUAAGGUAACGGCUUACCAAGGCGACGAUGCGUAGCCGACCUGAGAGGAUGAUCGGCCACACUGGAACUGAGACACGGUCCAGACUCCUACGGGAGGCAGCAGUAGGGAAUCUUCGACAAUGGGCGAAAGCCUGACGGAGCAACGCCGCGUGAGUGAUGAAGGUCUUCGGAUCGUAAAACUCUGUUAUUAGGAAAGAACAGAUGUGUAAGUAACUCUGCACGUCUUGACGGUACCUAAUCAGAAAGCCACGGCUAACUACGUG